rnacentral:rRNA from 1 species
AACGAACGCUGGCGGCAUGCCUAACACAUGCAAGUCGAACGAGACCUUCGGGUCUAGUGGCGCACGGGUGCGUAACGCGUGGGAAUCUGCCCUUGGGUUCGGAAUAACAGUUGGAAACGACUGCUAAUACCGGAUGAUGACGUAAGUCCAAAGAUUUAUCGCCCAAGGAUGAGCCCGCGUAGGAUUAGCUAGUUGGUGAGGUAAAGGCUCACCAAGGCGACGAUCCUUAGCUGGUCUGAGAGGAUGAUCAGCCACACUGGGACUGAGACACGGCCCAGACUCCUACGGGAGGCAGCAGUGGGGAAUAUUGGACAAUGGGCGAAAGCCUGAUCCAGCAAUGCCGCGUGAGUGAUGAAGGCCUUAGGGUUGUAAAGCUCUUUUAACCGGGAUGAUAAUGACAGUACCGGGAGAAUAAGCGCCGGCUAACUCCGUG